CCAGCAGGGGGCGGUUUGCGUUGAAAUAAACAGAACGGUGGCAACUGCAGCAGCAGAGUAAUAACGCUAUUCCACGUUGAUUGCAUGAGGUGAGUAAAAGUGGUUGUGUAAAUAUCUUAUAAUAUUAAAUGCGAUGUUCGAUCAUUUAUUUAUCCAUUGUACGUUCAAUUUGAAUAAUUAUUGUUAAUAAUUGUUAUAAAUUGCUCAUUUUAUUGUUCUUUGUGGAUUGUAACAGUACACUCUGUACAUGGCUUUAGUUCUUAGGUUUGAUUUUACAGAGGAUGACAUGAUCAGGAGGUGGUGGUGUUCUGUUCUCCUGGACAGCUUCACUCCGCAAAUAGCUCAACCACUGAGGGGAGGAACUUCACCAUUCAAAAGACAGUGUCUUCAGGCAGAGUCCAGCAAAGCAGCUUCCCUUGGAAAUCCUCAGGGAAGUUAUUUUGUCAGCGGGUGACUCUGCAUAUUUGACUCUUUCUCUGGUUUGCAGAUGGUUUAGGGAUGUGGUCACUCAAGAAGUUUUCCGGAAAGCAGCACACUUUGCCUGGCUAGACAGUAAGAUUUCCCCCUGUUUAAUGCUCAUUCUCCAAUUGAACUUUGUAGUAUGAGGCUGUUAAACUUUUUAUUAUUAUUAUUAUUAUCUUUCCUGUAUUUUGUCUUUACACUAUAAAUUGUGGCCAACUGGAAGAAUUGUCCUCCUGUCUACCAGAACGAGUUCAGACGGAUGAACAGCAUCAGGGAAUGCUUGCAGUGCAGAGCCCUUUUCAAGUUUAACCCACCAGGGUACAGGGAAGAGGACGGCGUGGUGAUCUUGUGGGCUUUUG